rnacentral:rRNA from 1 species
GUUGGAGCUUGCUCCAUCUGGGAUAGAACCCUUGAUUUUGAGUACCUUUUCGUUUCCUCGGCGGGUUCGCCCGCCGGUGGACAACCAAAACUCUUUGUAAUAGCAGUAUCUUCUGAAAAAAAAAACAAAUAGUCAAAACUUUCAACAACGGAUCUCUUGGUUCUGGCAUCGAUGAAAAACGCAGCGAAAUGCGAUAAGUAGUGUGAAUUGCAAAAUUCAGUGAAUCAUCGAAUCUUUGAACGCACAUUGCGCCCUUCGGUAUUCCGUUGGGCAUGCCUGUUCGAGCGUCAUUUUAACCUUCAAGCAUAGCUUGGUGUUGGGUGCUUGUCCCCCCUAGUGGCGGACUCACCUCAAAUGCAUUGGCGGCCGGUAUGUUGGCUUCGAGCGCAGUACAACGCGCCUGGUGUCUAGACGUGCUGGUCCUCCACAAGACCUUCUUUAAUCUUGACCUCGGAUCAGGUAGGGAUACCCGCUGAACUUAAGCAUAUCAAUAAGCGGAGGAAAAGAAACCAACAGGGAUUGCCCUAGUAACGGCGAGUGAAGCGGCAACAGCUCAAAUUUGAAAUCUGGGUCUUUCAGGCUCCGAGUUGUAAUUUGUAGAGGGCGCUUUGGUGUUGGCUGCGGUCUAAGUUCCUUGGAACAGGACGUCACAGAGGGUGAGAAUCCCGUACGUGGUCGACAGUCUUCACCGUGUAAAGCCCCUUCGACGAGUCGAGUUGUUUGGGAAUGCAGCUCUAAAUGGGAGGUAAAUUUCUUCUAAAGCUAAAUAUUGGCCAGAGACCGAUAGCGCACAAGUAGAGUGAUCGAAAGAUGAAAAGCACUUUGGAAAGAGAGUCAAAAAGCACGUGAAAUUGUUGAAAGGGAAGCGCUUGCAAUCAGACUUACCUGUAGUUGCUCACCUAGGCUCUUGCCUAGUGCACUCUUCUGCAAGUAGGCCAGCAUCAGUUCAGGCGGUUGGAUAAAGACCUCUAUCACGUAUCUUCCUUCGGGAUGACCUUAUAGGGGAGGUGUAAUGCAACCAGCCUGGAUUGAGGUCCGC